UAGGGAAUCUUCGGCAAUGGGGGCAACCCUGACCGAGCAACGCCGCGUGAGUGAAGAAGGUUUUCGGAUCGUAAAGCUCUGUUGUAAGAGAAGAACGUGUGUGAGAGUGGAAAGUUCACACAGUGACGGUAACUUACCAGAAAGGGACGGCUAACUACGUGCCAGCAGCCGCGGUAAUACGUAGGUCCCGAGCGUUGUCCGGAUUUAUUGGGCGUAAAGCGAGCGCAGGCGGUUUAAUAAGUCUGAAGUUAAAGGCAGUGGCUUAACCAUUGUUCGCUUUGGAAACUGUUAAACUUGAGUGCAGAAGGGGAGGGUGGAAUUCCAUGUGUAGCGGUGAAAUGCAUAGAUAUAUGGAGGAACACCGGUGGCGAAAGCGGCUCUCUGGUCUGUAACUGACGCUGAGGCUCGAAAGCGUGGGGAGCAAACAGG
rnacentral:rRNA from 1 species